GGCUGAUCUGUGAGUGUACUGUCAGGUAAGUGUGAUUAGUAGAAGUAUUGGCUAUUUUGUGUUGAUGCGUGAAUUGAAUUGAUGUUUUUCUUCUUUUAGCGGCAGCCUGUGGACUGGAUGUUGUUGGCGACGGCGAUAGGGCCUUCAAAUUUCGCCCAUUUGGCAGAAAGUGGAUGGUGAAUUUGGUGUGGCAACUGCUGGAGAGGCAGCUCUAUCGGAGGCGUGGCAGCGGCAGCCUGUGGACUGGAUGUUGUUGGCGACGGCGAUAGGGCCUUCAAAUUUCGCCCAUUUGGCAGGAAUUGGAUGGUGAAUUUGGUGUGGCAACUGCUGGAGAGGCAGCUCUAUCGGAGGCGUGGCAGGUACGUAUGUUUUGUCGGCAGCCUGUGGACUGGAUGUUGUUGGCGACGGCGAUAGGGCCUUCAAAUUUCGCCCAUUUGGCAGGAAUUGGAUGGUGAAUUUGGUGUGGCAACGGCUGGAGAGGCA